rnacentral:rRNA from 1 species
UACGUAGGGGGCAAGCGUUGUCCGGAAUCAUUGGGCGUAAAGCGCGCGUAGGCGGCCCGGUAAGUCCGCUCUGAAAGUCCAGGGCUUAACCCUGGAAAGCGGGUGGAUACUGCCGGGCUUGAAUCCGGAAGAGGCGAGUGGAAUUCCUGGUGUAGCGGUGGAAUGCGCAGAUAUCAGGAGGAACACCGAUUGCGAAGGCAGCUCGCUGGGACGUCACUGACGCUGAGACACGAAAGCGUGGGUAGCAAACAGG